GUUUGGUCCGAGUGCAGCGGUGUUUACAACUAAUUGAUCGCAAUCAGUUACAGGUUUUUUUGUUCCUUCUCUACUCCCACUGCUUCAAUUGACUAGUUAA
ensembl:Y_RNA Y_RNA Y RNA